UUCUGACUUCCUUUCUUUCUGAGUUUCAAGAUCUACUUCCUAAAUCUCUUUUUCUUUCUUAGAUUAACGACGACCACGGCGAAGCUGUAGGUAGAUUCAAAUCUAAUUCUGUCGUUCACUUCUCUUCCUCGUCUCAUAUUUCCCCUCUCGUGCCUCCUUUAACGACGAAAACAGCGAAGCAAAGCUUCACUGAAAACACCCACGCCUCAGAACUAUGCUCCGUUUAUGGCGGCGAUUUAGAUCCAAGCCCGACGGGAUCAUAAUGUCUCAGAUCUCAUGAGAUUUCUUAAAAUCCAUCGUUUCUAUGUGGAAAAUAGACUCUUAAUCAUGGUGAAUUGAGUCUCAGUCCCGAUUCAAGGUCAGGAAGGAGAAAGAGAGAAGGGAUAUGUCUCAGGGUUGAUGUUUGAAAAAUCCAAGGAGGUGAUUCAGAUGUUUAACAGCUCUCAAAUUGGUGGUAAAAGAGUGAAAGUUAAAAUUCCCGGAGGUGCCAAGAGGGCAAGAGAAGUAUUGAAGGGAGGUCUCGGGGAUUUGGUUUCAUCUUAUUCGAGUCAGCAGAAGAUGUUUAGUCUGCUCUUAAUGCCAUGAAUGAUCAUGAUCUGUUUAGUAGUACUUAGUGAAGGAUUCGUGUAAUUUCACUUUGUAAACCU